GUUUCUCGCAGCAGAUAGGGCAAAUUUACACGACACCACCGCGCAGCAACCCCGUCCCCCCAACUCUCCACCCCCCUCUCUCUCUCACGGCGAGGUAAUGGCCGGCGUCGUAGAGAGCCCGCAGGAGCCGCACUGGAGCUGCAGGAGGCCGCCAAGGCUCUCGCCGUGUGGCACGCCGUCGACGGGGAGGCGUUGCGGCGGCGCUGGCCGCGCCGCAUCCCAUCUCACCCGGUUGACUGGCUGUGAGGUCACCUAGAGGAGAAGGCGUCGGCGGAAACCAAGGGUGGUGCAGGAGCCGUGGGUCUUGCUGUGCGUCGUGCCACUGAAGAGGACGUGAUGCGACGGCGUGCUCGGUUGACUCCCUCGACCCGGCCGCUCUCAACUAGGUGCUUGAUGAAGAUUUUUUUGCCUGAAGGUAAACAUUCUAUAUUUUGACGACGCAACAAAGCGCGCGGGGUCCUUUUGAUGCAACAUGAUAGGUGUUCGAACCACUGAAGAUUGGAGCACCGACACAUGGGAGGACAAUAAUGUUGGCAAGGCUACUGAGAACAUCAAGGCAGAGGGCACUGCGGCAUGGAGGUUCCGGCACAAGAUUGCAUUUGGCUCUGCAACAGCACAUGGUUGCAUUCCGCAGAUCGUCAACCGGGAUGUGAAGGCACGCAACAUCUACUUCAACUGUGCAAUGGAGCCUAGGUUAUCCGAUUUUGGGUUAUCAAAGAUCGUUGGGACUAGCAAUAUGAGGAUCUGCUCCACCAUUCUCCUGGCUAUGCUCUGGCAGAGUUCUCAGAUUCAGAGGACGCUUACAGUUUCAGCAUCGUGCUGUUUGAGCUAAUCAUCGACAAGGAGCCACUGGGUGGCGAGUCCCUUGUGCUUCCUGUUUGUCAGGGUAAGAAACAUUAUACUAUCUAUAAAUGUUCCAUCCUGAUGUGCUAGAUUGUGUGCUACAUUACUAAGCUGUCCAUCCAUAAGUUUCCAGUGGAUGGAUUGGGUAUGUAGAGGGAUCCUUUGAUGGACUUUUUCAACAGUUUGGUCCUGCAUAUUUAAAUUGUGAUAUUAAAGAUGUUACAUGUUUAAUUGUUAAGGCAUGAUAAUAUCUUGAAUCAACCAUUAAUUACUUAAUAUAUUGUUUACCCCAUCUUCAAGUUUAGUAAAUGCAUGACACUAUUCUCUUUAGUACAAAAUCAGAGAUAAGAUAUUUUUAGUUCGUUUGUUUUCCACAUGAGAGAAGUGGUAAUUAAUUUUGUCAAUUCAUGGAGCCGGAAUGCGUAGUGGCUGCAGUGAAAAUAUUCUUACCAGCUUCCCGUAUCGCAUUGGAAAUACUAGAUAUCAGCAACACUUCAGUGAUGAAUUUUCAAUAGAUGUAUCUUAAUCCUCUAAUCAUGCACUUUAUCCUUUUUUUCAUUUACCAGAUUGAGAUCUCCUUGGAAAUUACUUCACCAUCAUAGGAUAUGUGUACAGAUUUAGCCAAGUAUGUGGAUAAGGCUUCAUAUUUUAUAUUUCUAUAUGAUUAUCCAUUCGUGGUGCAAAAGAAAGGGUCACGUGAUGCAUAACACCACUUCGUACAUAGAUUAUUUAGAUAUAUGAUGACCUUGUGGUGCGAAGUUUUUCUAAAAUUGGAGAUUGCUUGCUGGGUGUUUUAGUAACGAUGAUGUGUGCUUAACAUUUUAUAUGGGCAGGAGUAUCAAGGUGUUUUCCUGUCAAGAAAGAUACUAUGUGCUAGAAGAGCACUGGAAGGAUAAAAAAUGUAUAAAUAAUAUUGUAUAUCGACGGUAAAAAGGAGUGGUUGCCUCCUAAUUUUUGCGAAGUUAUAAUUUAUUGUCGUGAUUGUAACUAUGCAUAGUUAUGCCUUUGUUAAUGAAUCUUUGCGCUUUGCAUCUAUAUGUGCAUUGCAGUGUUUACUUA